rnacentral:rRNA from 1 species
UACGUAGGGGGCUAGCGUUGUCCGGAAUCAUUGGGCGUAAAGCGCGUGUAGGCGGCCCGAUAAGUCCGCUGUGAAAGUCCAGGGCUCAACCCUGGGAUGCCGGUGGAUACUGUCGGGCUCGAGUCCGGAAGAGGCGAGUGGAAUUCCUGGUGUAGCGGUGAAAUGCGCAGAUAUCAGGAGGAACACCAAUGGCGAAGGCAGCUCGCUGGGACGGUACUGACGCUGAGACACGACAGCAUGGGGAGCGAAUGGG